UGGGGUAUAGCUCAGUGGUAGAGCAUUCGACUUGAAAUCGUGAGGUCCCGGUUCGAACACGGGUAACCUUUUCUUCAG